CCUACGGGAGGCAGCAGUGAGGAAUAUUGGUCAAUGGGCGGGAGGCUGAACCAGCCAAGUCGCGUGAGGGAAGACGGUGCUAUGGAUUGUAAACCUCUUUUGUCGGGGAGCAAAAGACGCCACGCGUGGCGUUCCGAGAGUACCCGAAGAAAAAGCAUCGGCUAACUCCGUGCCAGCAGCCGCGGUAAUACGGAGGAUGCGAGCGUUAUCCGGAUUUAUUGGGUUUAAAGGGUGCGCAGGCGGAAGGUCAAGUCAGCGGUAAAAUUGAGGGGCUCAACCUCUGCGAGCCGUUGAAACUGGUUUUCUUGAGUGGGCGAGAAGUAUGCGGAAUGCGUGGUGUAGCGGUGAAAUGCUUAGAUAUCACGCAGAACUCCGAUUGCGAAGGCAGCAUACCGGCGCUCAUCUGACGCUCAUGCACGAAAGUGUGGGUAUCGAACAGGAUUAGAUACCCUUGUAGUC
rnacentral:rRNA from 1 species